rnacentral:rRNA from 2 species
AACCUGCCUGUAAGACUGGGAUAACUUCGGGAAACCGAAGCUAAUACCGGAUAGGAUCUUCUCCUUCAUGGGAGAUGAUUGAAAGAUGGUUUCGGCUAUCACUUACAGAUGGGCCCGCGGUGCAUUAGCUAGUUGGUGAGGUAACGGCUCACCAAGGCAACGAUGCAUAGCCGACCUGAGAGGGUGAUCGGCCACACUGGGACUGAGACACGGCCCAGACUCCUACGGGAGGCAGCAGUAGGGAAUCUUCCGCAAUGGACGAAAGUCUGACGGAGCAACGCCGCGUGAGUGAUGAAGGCUUUCGGGUCGUAAAACUCUGUUGUUAGGGAAGAACAAGUACGAGAGUAACUGCUCGUACCUUGACGGUACCUAACCAGAAAGCCACGGCUAACUACGUGCCAGCAGCCGCGGUAAUACGUAGGUGGCAAGCGUUAUCCGGAAUUAUUGGGCGUAAAGCGCGCGCAGGCGGUUUCUUAAGUCUGAUGUGAAAGCCCACGGCUCAACCGUGGAGGGUCAUUGGUAACUGGGGAACUUGAGUGCAGAAGAGAAAGCGGAAUUCCACGUGUAGCGGUGAAAUGCGUAGAGAUGUGGAGGAACACCAGUGGCGAAGGCGGCUUUUUGGUCUGUAACUGACGCUGAGGCGCGAAGCGUGGGGAGCA